rnacentral:misc_RNA from 1 species
AACUGAUACUACCUGCGGGAACCUGCGGAAGGAUCAUUACUGAUUGCAAAAUCUCUAAACCAUCGCGAACGUUACCCCACGCCGUUGCCUCGGCGGAAAGCCCCUCUGGGGGCCGCCCGCCGGUGGCACUAUAAACUCUUUUUAUUUACUGGCCUCUCUGAGUAUAUAUACAAAUAAGUUAAAACUUUUAACAAUGGAUCUCU